AAAUGUCUACCAUGCUUUGGAGAUGUUUCAAAUUGGCAACCCGGUUAAUGCCUUACUGUAAGGUCAUGCUUCCUCGGCUUUCAUUUGGAAUACGACAUGUGGAUAGAGUAAUAAUGUAUCAGCAAAAAGAUUGUUGAAUGAAUUCCAUCCAUUUGCAAUUAACCGAAUUCACCCUCCACGUAAAAGCUAACAUCAAAAGGCGUAUUCUGAUUUGAGUAGUUACGUUCCCUGCAGCAUCCUGAAGGUGCCGAGUUAAUGUUAAAAUAAUUCAUUAGUUGGAUGCAGCUGAAUGAGAACCCAACAACUAUUGAUAUAUACGUAUAGAUAUUCAUAGCUCACCGAGUUUGCACCGGGAAAGGAUGUUGUAAUAUGAACGCCCCUAGAAGCAAAACCACCCACGGAUCUGACCACCGAUGUACAAGUCGGUAAUGAUAGAUUAUGUUUUUGUAAUAUGCAAAACACUGCAGCCUGUAAUGGCAAUUCACUGUUUCGUGACGUCAUCGAUAUUGUCCUUAGGACAGCCAAACCGGGUGUAGAUAAAAUAUCACUGUUCGACUUUUUUGCAGUGCAUGAAUAUUUUGUCGAUUUUUACGUUCAAUUAUCCCGAAAUAACCUUGUAAAGUGCAGAGAACACUGGAGCCAUACUUGCACUGAUCGAAAAAAUGAAUUAACCCAUUUCCAGAGACUAGCUAUUUGUGACGCGAUCGAUUCAUGAUACAAGGACAGCGAUUGGCGUUUUACAGAUCCCCGGUAAUCAAUGGUGGAGCACAGAUCCGCAGUGGAUUAGCCGUGUGGCGUAGUGCAGCGCAGGCUGCUGCAAGCCUUACUUGUACUUUGGCGAUUAUUUAAAAAAAAUCAAUUCUGCAAAACAACUUGGGACAAAAACAUUCAUAAACGACAUAAUGCUAGACUGAAUCUUAAUGACAUCAGAAAAGCAGCGGUAAAGUGCUUUCUUUAUUUAACUCAAAGUUAUCGCGUCAAAGAAAUCAGACUCGGGUCCACCUUUUCUUAAAAAGAAUGUAAUAAAUUGGUGUGUUAGAGUACAAGAGGCAAUUUCUAAUUCAGAGUCGAUCAAUUACAAGGGGAGAUAUUUGAACAUUUAUACAAUGAUUUGGUGAAAAAAUGAUGGUAUUUAAUGCACGUAGUUAAUUGGUAAAAAGUACAUGUACAAUAAGCAUGAUUAUUAUUGUUAUGUGAUUUUAAUAACUAUAGAAGUUCAUUCUAAACUGAUAUUUUCACAGAUGACACAUCGACCAUCCAAAACAUAUAUCACAUGUAGUUUUAUUUUGUCAAAUGCGCGUAAGGAUACAAACUCCAAAGUUAAGGUGUUAAAUAAUGAACUUCUGACCAGUCUUUUAAUUUUAUUCUUUAAACUCGAGUUCUCUGCGUUCACUUUUUUCUGGAAAAAGAAUAGCACAUAGUAAGGUAUAUGUAUUUAAUCAUUUUCCAAUGUUCAGCAAUGUUUGAUAUUUCAAUAUUUUUACAAGACUGAAGGCCAUAUAUACGAAUACUGCUCAUACAGUUGCCUGAUGUUAGGAAAUUCGGGAACACUGUCAAAAAAACCACUAGGUUUGUGCAAACAGAGACCCUGCCCUUGAACAUGAGAUCGGUUUGCUUUGUUGCGCGAUGAUGGUUGUUCUUCCCUUGGCAUAUUUGUACUUAUUAAUGCGCGACCGAAUUUUACACCAGAAGAUAAAAUGAAUGAUCGGCAUACCAACCUAAUCGUUGAAAAUUUCUAAGAGCUCAUGACCGAAUUCUUUAUCUCCUACCGUUUAAUUUCUUUCCUUUUUAACUUCAAUUUGAUUGGCCCCCUGAAGUUGUGCUUGGGAUGUUGUGACAUCAUUUGUCACAGAAUUAUGAAACAUUAACCAAAAAUAGACUGAUUAAUGAUUGUACCCUCAUUCUCAAGUAGACAACGAAAAAACAUAUGGUAAUCAAAAAUCAAAGCCCUCACUUAGCUGACUUUGAAUAUCAAGCAAAAAAAAGAAAAAAAUUAAAUUCUAGGUACAUAUAUCUUCUUUUCUACUGUACUGUUUCUUCUUUCUUUUAGGCUGAAAAAACCCCAGGUUUUCAUGGUACACGAUUUUAAGAGCGUCACUGAACCCAAAUGUUGAACGUUAACCGAAAUAUUUGACCUAGAUUUUGUAGUAUUUAAUAUUGUUACAUAUACCAGGCCUUGUGCGUGACACAUUCUGAACGUGGGGUAAAGGAAUUUUUGCAAUUCUUUCAAGCAUAUCUGUUUUGUUAUAUAUUUAAUAAAAAUCUUCCUAUC
rnacentral:sRNA from 1 species